UAUAUCACUAUCUAUAGAGCUUGUUGUAUGGUUGGUCUACCUUUCAUUGUGUUGGUGGAAAUUAUUGGCAGCCGAUAAUGGAAGAGGAGGAAGAGUUUAUAUACAGGAGGGUCAGAUUAGUACCUGAUGGUCACUGGGGGAAGUCACAGUCGCCUGGAGAACAGGCUUACCACUACAGUACUAGGCUGGUCCUAGUUUGUUUAGUCUUUAGGAAGUAAUGGUCAUAAGGAUGGAUGUCACUUAAUGCACAGGAUAGAGGACCAAUUUUCAAGGAAGAAGUAUAUGUUCAAGAAGACAAUCGGACAUAAAAAGUUGGGAUAUUAAAAUCAUAAAUACAAGAAAAUUC